rnacentral:rRNA from 1 species
AAUCUUCCGCAAUGGACGAAAGUCUGACGGAGCGAUGCCGCGUGAGUGACGAAGUUCUUCGGAUCGUAAAACUCUGUUGUUAGGGAAGAACAAGUAUCCGUGUAAUAUGCCGGUACCUUGACGGUACCUAAUUCGAAAGCCACCGCUAACUACGUGCCAGCCACCGCGGUAAUACGUAGGGGGCAAGCGUUGUCCGGAAUUAUUGGGCGUACAGGGCACGCAGGCGGUUAUUUAAGUCUGAUGUGAAAUCUUGUGGCUUAACCCCAAGCGGUAAUUGGAAACUGGAUAACUUGAGUACAGAAGAGGAGAGUGGAAUUCCACGUGUAGCGGUGAAAUGCGUAGAGAUGUGGAGGAACACCAGUGGCGAAGGCGGCUCUCUGGUCUGUAACUGACGCUGAGGUGCGAAAGCGUGGGUAGCGAACA